UUUUUUUUUUGUAUAUGACUGUUCUACUAUUUCUAUAUGUAACAAAGUGUGUAAUCAGCCAUUUACUGUAAUUAUUUAACAGAAUCAAAACAACUUCCUUCUGCCCAACCCCUGGGCUUGAACUUUAAAAAAGCCACUGACCAAUCUGAAGAUUCAGUCCAGUUCCAUGCCCCUCCAACCCCCAUGACCACUUCUGGUCACCAAUCUGGAGGUAACUGUGUUGUCUUGUGUAUCCAGCAUUCAGCAUCAAAGAUAUAUAAAUAAGAAAUCUAAUGCAUGUCUCUCUAUAAUAAUAUACAAUGACAAGGAGGAUAUAGGUUUCUUCACAGACCCGACAUCUCAGGGCAAGUACAGUGCAAAUUCAAGUCAAAAUGGCAAUGGUUUCCUCCUCCAACACAUAGUAAACCCUUUUUCUUUCAUUAAAACAGAUUCAGUCCAGUUCCAUGCCCCUCCAACCCCCAUGACCACUUCAGGUCACCAAUCUGGAGCAGGCUAUGGAUGCUCAUCAUUGGGGCCUGCUUUUCAGCAUCCUGAAAACUUCUACAGAUUAAUACUGCAGCAUCUGAGGGAGUUGGCCGAAGAACUGAGGGAUGUGAAACAGCAGGUUUCUUUAAACACAGCCAUAUUACAGAGCCUGACAGCUGGAACCAACGUGGACAUGUCCAUCCCACCAGACGUCAUCCUUCCUCUGGAGGAUAGAAGCAUGCUGGAGGACGUUGAGAGAGGGCUUGGACAAAAUCUGGAAUUAACAGAGAAAUUGGUUGCUUACUUAGCCUCAAGAGGAGGCAGGAACCUAAAGGACUCCGUAAAAAGAAUAUUUUAGAGCCUUUUUACUAACAACCUCGCCAUCGGGAUGAACUGGACAGGGUCGGGACAGAAGGUGUCCUUCAACAACCUCCAU